UUGCACUUAAAAAGACGGCUGACAAGGGCCUGCUAUAACUUUGUGAUUGAAGUACGAUUUACACGAUCCACGAGCCUUCCAUCAAUCGAACGUCAAAUUAAGAAUUCUUUUACACCAUCAUCGACAAGAAACGUACUGACGUACGGAACGUAUGAAUGCGCUCGCGAGAAAAAUGCAUUCAAGCCUACUCUGACGGAACGGUAUCCGGACGUUCCGUUCCGAAGGUGAUGUACCGUGUGACCUGUACUUAAAUCGCCUUGUCUCAUGAGUAUCAUAUUUCGAAAUCGUCGCCUGCUACUUACUACAAGGGGAAUGUUUUUAUUUUGACCUGCUCGGUUCGGUUGACGUCACCUGGGACUUGCGGCAACGUUUGCGCUCUAAAUCUUUAUCAGUUUCCGUUAGUGCAUAAAAUACGAGUUAUCUGCCAAACGGAGAUAUUUGGAAUAACCGUUAUCGACCCAAACAUUACCUAUUCCGCUGAGGUUUGCGCUAGAGAAACUGUACGAGUACCAACCAGACUGAAGUGACUGUGCUGGCCUGAGGUGGAUUUGUCCUCUUGUGUUUAUUCAGUUUAUCAUCGCGUGCUAGUUUGCAGUAGAUCUUUGCUUUGCUUUUGCACUGAUAGUACCGAACAAACUGAUAGUGUUCGUCGGAUGAUCAUGCUGCUAGUUAGAGGCAAAGUAUGACUAAUCCUUACUGUAGUUAUUCGUUUUGUCCGAAUCGAUCGUGACUAAU